UUCAUCCUAGCCCCAAUCUGUUUCUGGUUCAUCCUCUCAACCCUUAGCUUGGCAUAGGCCUUGAAUGCCUUCAUCUCUUCAGUCACCUUCACAACUUCAACAGAAGGUUGCUCACGGACAAUGGGCAUGUAAGUGCCCUGGAGCUGAGUGGCACUGGCCAGCUCCUCAGGUGUAGAAUCCCCAGCCUUCGACUUCUGAGAUCGCCUUGGGAACACAACAAGCUUGGCCUUGUAAGUCUUCAGCCUCUGAAUGUUCGACUGGAGGCCCUCAAGUGAUCGGUUCUUACGACGGUGAUCAACUGAUAUCCCAAUGGUCGGAGCAAGCUUUCUAGGAAUGCCAGCUGCCUUAAGCUCCUCCAGGGAAAACCCCCUACCAGACCUAGAUUUCAUGUUGUACUUG
rnacentral:misc_RNA from 1 species